UUCCAUCAUCCGCAGAGCGGAGAAACGCUCGCGCUGCAGCUGAGUUUAACACAACGCUCACACACACAGAGAGAGAAACUCCUGUUUUGAGUGUCCAGCAGCGGCAGGUGAAGGUGGUUUUCAGCUCCGGUGUUGUGUGUCUGUGCGACAGAGAAGCGAAGGUUAGUGGACGUCCUACUUCUGACCAGUGAGUGAUGCAUGUGAGAGUGGUAGCCCUGGUCAUAUAUUCUCCUGCUACACCCUUCACAACCGCUUCUACCAUGUCGGGUAAGCUCCUCCAGGCCACACCAUACCCUCAACAGGGAGAAAAACAUGAGCUGUGUUUGGCAUGUUACCAGUACCACGGAGGUCGUAUGCCAGACGUCACUGUUACACCGCCUUUGCGGAACCACAGCGCAACAAACUGGCCACACGCUUUGUGGAUUUCGUUCAGCGGAUUGCUCUUUCGCCCGACCAUGUUGCUUCCAAAAAUGCAGCAGAUGACUUUGGUGGCAGUUCACGAAGCCUUGUUGGACAAAAACAGCGGUGACAGGUGAACCAGCAACAGCAGCAGUGAGACGCCAUGAACGACAGAGGCGCUGCCGGACGGCCUCCCUUUAUUGCUGAGUUACUACAGUAUAAGACGACAGACUAUUGCAACGUUUGGUUAAACAGAGUACCAGCGAGCCUUCCUGUCCGGGUCACGGCGUCCUGCCAUGGAGAGGUAUAUCCAGGGACAUUAAAACUGGUAAGAGUUCACAUUUACAUUUUUUUAGAAGAGAAAAUGGCCACCAAGUUCACGUACACUCAGUCCUCCGAUAAUAAAUAUAUACACGUCCCGCUCAAGUCCGGGUCACACAGCAGUGAGGCUCUGCUGCCUCCAGAAGUGGCAACUACUCAUUCGGAAGCAGCGGAGGGACAGCUUAACAAAAGAAAAAGUACUGUACAUAAUAUUUCUUAUAUAUUUUAAAUUAAUCUGCAUCAUCUUAUAUUUAUACUAAUGACCGCGUUUGCAUCAAUUUCUUUUUUUUUUUUUUUCUUUCGGCCGAACCCAGGAGGAGGAAAGGUGAGUCCCGUCUCUCACAGUCACCAGUGGUCUUGCAGUCCCGGUUCAGUCCCAGUCCUAGAGGAGUCCGUCAGGAUGUCCCAGGAUCAGACUUUGGCCUCCAGCAUCUCCAGGAACAGUUUGUGCAUGGGCACUUUUCCCUGCACCUUGAUGCUGUAAAAGUGCUGCACGGCCUUGGUGGCGGUCUGCCGGAGCAGCGGCAGCGUCAUGAGGAGCUUGCCCGCCCGCCGAGGGUCCUCCUGGUGCUGGCUGCUCUCGUAGUCCUGCAGAGCCUCGUGGAGGGCGUCCUGAAGCUUCUGGACGGCCUCCAUGUCCUCUAUGUGCAUGGAGUCUGGCAGGGGAGCAGCACAGGAACACUUCAGUCAAGGGUUUAGAUUUUUUUUCUCAGAUAGCCAUUUUCCCACCGGCACCUUCUCCUACUCUCAUUGUUUUCAUUUAGAUUUUCUCCACUUAGUUCAUGUUUCUCCUGAGGUAACUAUCUACUUUUUUAAUAGUGUUUCAACAUUGGUUGUUCUUCAGCGCCCCCUUCGUCCUCUGAAGGACAAACUGCGACCAAAUCAAAAAACAAAGGUCUCCAUUAGAGAAUUGGACGUCAUGGUUGUGAUAAAUGCAGAGGGGAUAAAAUAAACAUCUGCCAUCAGGUUUUGUAGCAUAACAGAGAGAGCAGAAGUUCCAGGUCCUUUGUUCCUGCUUCACUCUCUCUUCAGACUCGCCUCUGGUCUUCCACGCUCUGAUAACACUUCCCUCCAGCAGGGCCGCCCCUGCGCUCCCCCUGUACAUGGUGCUUCAGAACCCCCCUCUAAUUUCCCUCCGUUCGCCUGGCGGGACCGUGUGAGGUCGCACUUCUCUCACCACUUACUCGGGCGUCGUGUCAUUGGCUGUGUGGCUACAUUCACCUUGGCGCCGCAUAUUUUACCGUGCGGGACGAUAAAAAGGCAAAACAGAUUUGAGACUUCGCCCCAAAUUCAUUGACUGGAACGACUGUAUUCCCAGGACCUUGAGACAUUUCUCACCCUGACGCUUUUCAAAUCCGCAGCGGUGAAGUGAAGUAGGUCGUUUGGUGGAGUGAGCUCCAUUUUUUUCUUUUUAACAGACCUGCUGCAUUUGGGACUCUGACCGCCCCCUUCAGGUUAAACGGAAUAAGCGUUAUCAUAUACAAAAGCUAGUUUAUAUAAUGCCCAGCUUAUGUGUCUUAUUGUUUUAUAUCGUAGUUUCAAACACUCAAAUUCAUUUCUAAUUCCUAUUAAAAUUAAGGUGAGGAGGUGGGAGUACUCGGAGUAGAUCCCAGACGACGUGGUGCCCAUGAGCAAGACUGAAGUUUGUGAAAAUGGUGGCAGCAGCACUGUGUCCCAUAUACAUUUCAGAGGUUUUGCUUGGAUAAAAAAAGCGUAAACGCUCGUACUCAGCGAGUCAGACAUAAAAACAACUUUGAAGAAACAAUUUCUCUGCAAUCCAUCAAGCAGCUCACGUCGAUCCGAUUGAUAAACUGCUAAUUACAAAAUCAAUGGCCAUGAAUUUUCAGAGCUGUCAGACAGGGGAGCUCCCAGGAGGGACAUCCAGCCCAGACCUGGUGGGAGCGUCGCGCACACCUCCCCCCCGCCGCCCGAGCUCCAUUGUCUGACAGCAAAGCUCCGGCAUCAGCAUUUUCAUUUUUCCGCGCAGGACAAAACAAGGCGGCGCGGGCCGGUGACCGGGGCGAGCAUUGAUCAGAGCGCGGACGGGACCUGCCUCCUCAAAAGGAGCCUGUCAAUAGCAGCGUGCCGGCUGCACAUUGGAACAAACGAGGGCCAUCACUCGCCCCAACUCAUUCCAUUCCACUUAACACAUUUUAUUGACAGCCCCCUUGCUCCUAAUGAAAUGCUAAAUUUAUCUCCCGUGGCUGCUGCGCGCCCGCCGGCUACUGUUAUGGAGAUAGAGGCAGCGCCGGGGAGAAAUACCACAACAUGGAUGGAGUUCAAUUAAAAAGAGCUCCCUCUCCCACUCUGCCCUUAUCGUCCCUCCAUCUCUCCAUCUCGGGCUCCAAACUAAAGGUUACUGCCGGGAAAGUGAGAAAUGUCAUUUCUCUUAGACUAUAACCAUGACGCCGACACAGUUCCACUCCCAAAAAGUUGCAUUCGCAGCUCGAGAAACUGCCGCACAAAUGUCCUGCAGCGCUUUCCCUGUUGAGAUGCGAUUACCCGCGUAGAGUUUCGCAAAAACUGUCGGCUCAAAUUCAGCAAUCUGGUUUUGUUGCCACUGUAUCUACAAAAGUGAAACGUGACGGAGAGAAAGUGUUGGGACUCUGCCGUCACCUUACUUCCUGGUCAAGGUCACAUGGCACGGUAAGCUCGGCGUUCAGGUACCUGAGUUGGCGAGCGCGAUGGCCUUCAGGGUGACAAACUCCUCCUUCUCCACUUUCAGCUUCUUGUACUUCCGGACCAGCUGCAGGAUGGAGACGUAGAGGUCCAGCAGGCCGGUUAGCCUGGAGUGCUCCUCGUCCAUGAUGUAGUCCUCAGCAUAGACCAGUUCGUCCUCGUAGGGCAGCGAGCGGAACACGAUGCUGAGGAUGAGGAUCUCCAUCCAGGCGCUCUGCAGUAGACUCAUCUGGUCCCCCAGAGACAGAGUGGAGAAGCCUGCCACAAGAAAGACACGUCAAAAGCCUGGCAAGGAGACUCCACCACUACUGACACCCAAAGAAAGGUGAUGGAAAAACUGCAUAAAAGGUGGACGAUAAUACCAGAGAGCAGCUCAGUCUGUAAGACCAUGAGGUCCAGCACGAUAGCUUGUUUUAGAGGCAGAGAAAACAGUAGCUGGACUAAGUGUGAGGGGUCAGAAGGAACCUCAGUGAGUACGGGCUGCUGGGCCGGGGCACUUUUAGCUGGUCAGUUUGAGCUUCCAUGUUCUGCAAGCUGUGACCUGUUUGGUUGACCUUGACUCAAAGGCUGGCAUGAAUUUUCUGGACAGAGUUGGACCUCAGAAAAAGGUCAAGACCAAGUCCAAGGCCAAACUGAGUACACAACACAGCAGCAUUUGGCUGUUUCGAACACACUGCUAAUAGAAUAUCUUGUCAUUUUAACAACGAUAACUCUAAUAUUGGAAAAAAAACGGAGAGCUGAAAUGUUGCUUUCAAAAACAACAUUGAAUUCACAUAUGGGAUUUAAAAAUGUAUCCUGUUGGAACGAGACAAGACCAAGACUUCAAAAUGUGGUCUUGGUCUCGGAAGUAAAGGGGAGCUCAGUCUCCACCAGUUCUGAAACCGCUGUGUGAGGCUCAUGUGGUGCAGGGUCCAAAAGUAGUUCACUGCUCCAGCAUCUCUUUUAUUUCUCCUUCAAGAUCUUUAUGUUGAAAACAGAAGAUUGAAUCUCAUAAAAGUUUGGCUCCUCAUCACCAUUUCCCAGAUACUAGCGCUCAAUAAAAUAAGAGGGUCCCCCUCCUCCUCUCCCCACAGGCGUCCUGUCUUCCCCGACCCCCCUGAUGCUUUCACCAGUUUGUUGCGUGCAGGCGGGUAUGUGACUAUGAGGCUCGGCCACGCCCCGGCUCCAUAUCGCCAGGCUCCAUCUGGCGCACCCGAACACGGCCAGGAAAAGGCGGCCGCGACGAGGAAGUAAAAGUCGGGGGAGAGAACUCGGUGUUCAGUUUCUCUUAUCGUGGCGAUGAGCAGCGGCGGGGACGGGCCGCAGGAUACAUUAAUUAAGAGAUUGGGAUCAGAAUGUGAGGGGCUCUUACGUUUUGAAGGAGAAUCAAUAGUCGGUGGGAUGGAGUGGUCAGAAGAGCCCGAAUUAGACUCGACAAAAAGUGCCAAAAGCACUCAAAACUAUUAUCAGCUGAGGCCAUUACAGGGGCCCAGACGGCACGUUCCAAUCUCCUUGUUGUGUAAUUUCCUUGUCUGCAUACGUGGCCAUUAAGCUGGACAGAAUUUGGACCGGCCCGACUUGACAUGCGAGCGUGGACGCGGCGUUGAUUGCUGCGUCAGGUUUGGCAUCGCAAU